ensembl:snRNA LOC120097275 U6atac minor spliceosomal RNA
GUGUUGUAUGAAAGAAGAGAAGGUUAGCACUCCCCUUGACAAGGAUGGAAGGAGGCCCUUGGGCCUAACAACACGCAUACGAUCGAUGUUGGGGAUCAAACCUUGCGGAUGCUAGACCAGUGUUCUGA